rnacentral:rRNA from 1 species
GGUAAUACGGAGGGUGCAAGCGUUGUCCGGAUUUAUUGGGUUUAAAGGGUGCGUAGGCGGAAUAUUAAGUCAGUGGUGAAAGCCCACAGCUCAACUGUGGAACUGCCAUUGAUACUGGUAUUCUUGAAUUCAGUUAAGGUAGGCGGAAUUGAUGGUGUAGCGGUGAAAUGCAUAGAUAUUACGAAGAACAUCAGUGGCGAAGGCGGCCUGCUGGUCUACAACUGACGCUGAGGCACGAAAGCGUGGGGAGCGAACAGG